CCUGGCACUUGGUACUGUGUUUGGACAAGCAGGGUUAGGCUCUUGGUUUGGUUGAGUUCUGCGAAGUUCACCAGGUAUAUUCCGCUGUCAUUUAGAUGCAAGUCGCUGAGAAGUAAGGAGGCGGUAUCUGGUAAGAAUGUUACUCUCUGCCGGUACUCCUCCACCGCUAUACUAUAUUCGUGGCAUAGCCUGGGAGGAGAGGAAAAGAUGGACGGAUCACUGUGACAGCGAAUCAUUUCUGCAAAAAGAA